rnacentral:rRNA from 1 species
GACGAACGCUGGCGGCGUGCUUAACACAUGCAAGUCGAACGGAAAGGCCCUGCUCUUGUGGGGUUCUCGAUUGGCGAACGGGUGAGUAACACGUGAGUAACCUGCCCUUGACUGUGUGAUAACUUCAGGGAACUGGGGCUAAUACCGGAUAGGAGCUCCUGCUGCAUGGUGGUGGUUGGAAAGUUUCGGCGGUUGAGGAUGUACUCGCGGCUUAUCAGCUUGUUGGUGGGGUAGUGGCUUACCAAGGCUUUGACGGGUAGCCGGCCUGAGAGGGUGACCGGCCCCAUAGGCACAGGGAUGCGGCCCGGACGCAUACGGGAGGCAGGAGUGGGGACUAUAGCAAGAAGCGCCGAAGCAUGAAGGAGGAACGCCGCGUGCGAGAUGACGGCUUUUGGGUAGGAAAACGCUUUCGACUGUCACGAAGCGUGAGGGAGGGAAAUGAGCAAAGAAGCACCAGCUAACUACGG